rnacentral:rRNA from 1 species
AGUGAACGCUGGCGGUAGGCCUAACACAUGCAAGUCGAACGGCAGCACAGUAAGAGCUUGCUCUUACGGGUGGCGAGUGGCGGACGGGUGAGGAAUACAUCGGACUCUACUUUUUCGUGGGGGAUCACGUAGGGAAACUUACGCUAAUACCGCAUACGACCUACGGGUGAAAGCAGGGGAUCUUCGGACCUUGCGCGAUUGAAUGAGCCGAUGUCGGAUUAGCUAGUUGGCGGGGUAAAGGCCCACCAAGGCGACGAUCCGUAGCUGGUCUGAGAGGAUGAUCAGCCACACUGGAACUGAGACACGGUCCAGACUCCUACGGGAGGCAGCAGUGGGGAAUAUUGGACAAUGGGCGCAAGCCUGAUCCAGCCAUACCGCGUGGGUGAAGAAGGCCUUCGGGUUGUAAAGCCCUUUUGUUGGGAAAGAAAAGCAGCAGGUUAAUACCCCGCUGUUCUGACGGUACCCAAAGAAUAAGCACCGGCUAACUUCGUG